ensembl:lncRNA
CAAGGACUCCCGGUAGCCUCCCAUCCCGGACCGGACCAAAAACCCGCUGUGGGAGAGCCCACGCCACCGCUCCACGCUCUUUUCUCCUCCCGAUCUGUUGCUUGGAUAUUUUUUCCGAUUUUUCCCAAUAAUUUUUCUAUAUUCGGGGCCUGAGAGUGUGUCUGGCUCUCCUCAGGCUGCAGCGGAGUUAUGGGGCGCUUCUUCUGUUAGGAUCCUAUAAAGCAAACAGAAACUGGACAAGAAUAGAUGAUAGAGAAACAGAAGGUCUGAAGAUGGAUGAGCCCUGUAGACCAUGCAGGAAAAGCCCUCACAUGCACAGCAGCAGCCACCACUCCCCUGCAUGUUUCUGGCUACCACACACCUAAUCAGUCCUGAUUAGAUGCACUGUGAGGGACGAGGAAGCCAGAAGUUUCCUUUGAGAAGUUCUGAUGACAGGACAGAAGAAAGCAAUGGGCUCCCUUAAAUAAAGCCUUCAUCAGGC